GGCUCAGAUUGAACGCUGGCGGCAUGCUUUACACAUGCAAGUCGAACGGCAGCACGAAAGAGCUUGCUCUUUUGGUGGCGAGUGGCGAACGGGUGAGUAAUACAUUGGAACGUACCGAGUAAUGGGGGAUAACUGUCCGAAAGGAUGGCUAAUACCGCAUACGCUCUGAGGAGGAAAGCGGGGGACCUUCGGGCCUCGCGUUAUUCGAGCGGCCAAUGUCUGAUUAGCUAGUUGGUGGGGUAAAGGCCUACCAAGGCGACGAUCAGUAGUGGGUCUGAGAGGAUGAUCCGCCACACUGGGACUGAGACACGGCCCAGACUCCUACGGGAGGCAGCAGUGGGGAAUUUUGGACAAUGGGCGAAAGCCUGAUCCAGCCAUGCCGCGUGUCUGAAGAAGGCCUUCGGGUUGUAAAGGACUUUUGUCAGGGAAGAAAGGG
rnacentral:rRNA from 1 species